GACGAACGCUGGCGGCGUGCCUAAUACAUGCAAGUCGAGCGAAGUGAUUCUGGUGCUUGCUCCGGAAUAACUUCGCGGCGCACGGGUGAGUAACACGUAAAGAACCUGCCUUAUAGUCUGGGAACACUAUUGGAAACGAUAGCUAAUACCGGAUAACAGCAUUACCUGCAUGGUUGAUGUUUGAAAGUUGCUUUUGCUAACACUAUGAUAUGUCUUUGCGGUGCAUUAGCUAGUUGGUGGGGUAAAGGCCUACCAAGGCGACGAUGCAUAGCCGACCUGAGAGGGUGAUCGGCCACACUGGAACUGAGACACGGCCCAGACUCCUACGGGAGGCAGCAGUAGGGAAUCUUCCGCAAUGGGCGAAAGCCUGACGGAGCAACGCCGCGUGAGUGAAGAAGGACUUCGGUUCGUAAAGCUCUGUUGUUAGGGAAGAAUGUUUGUGUAGUAACUAUACACAGUAGAGACGGUACCUAACCAGAAAGCCACGGCUAACUACGUG
rnacentral:rRNA from 1 species